UCCGGUAACUAUAGCGAAGAGGAUCCACCUGUUCCCAUCUCGAACACAGUAGUUAAGCUCUUUAGCGCCGAUGAUACUUGGCGGGCAGCUGCCUGGGAAAGUAGGACGUCGCCGGUU
rnacentral:rRNA from 1 species